GAUGAACGCUGGCGGCGUGCCUAAUACAUGCAAGUCGAGCGAACGGACGAGAAGCUUGCUUCUCUGAUGUUAGCGGCGGACGGGUGAGUAACACGUGGAUAACCUACCUAUAAGACUGGGAUAACUUCGGGAAACCGGAGCUAAUACCGGAUGAUACUUUGAACCGCAUGGUUCAAAAGUGAAAGACGGUCUUGCUGUCACUUAUAGAUGGAUCCGCGCUGCAUUAGCUAGUUGGUAAGGUAACGGCUUACCAAGGCGACGAUGCAUAGCCGACCUGAGAGGGUGAUCGGCCACACUGGAACUGAGACACGGUCCAGACUCCUACGGGAGGCAGCAGUAGGGAAUAUUCGGCAAUGGGCGAAAGCCUGACGGAGCAACGCCGCGUGAGUGAUGAAGGUCUUCGGAUCGUAAAGCCCUGUUGUUGGGGAAGAAAAGAUGUGUAAGUAACUGUCCACGUCUUGACGGUACCUAAUCAAAAAGCACCGGCUAACUACGUG
rnacentral:rRNA from 1 species